rnacentral:rRNA from 1 species
UCCAUCACCCUAAACAUACCGAGUCUCAUCUGAUUCUGGAAGCUAAGCAGAAUCUGGCCUGGCUAAUACUUGUAUGGGAGACCUCUGGGGAGAGGUAGGGCUAGGAG